rnacentral:lncRNA from 1 species
AUGCAGAUGCAGCCUGCAAACCACCUCCCAGGGACAGGUAUUGAAAUUUUGCUAUUAAAUUGACUCUUGUCAUUUGGAGAGGAGAAAAUCAAUGGAUUGUACAUCAAGAUGGUGAUUCAUUAAAGAAGGACCUUUCAAAGAUAGUUGCUGGCUAUAUGUCUGAUGAAGCUAUUGGGUCAGUGACGUGGCUAGUGAUACAACAUCCUCUAAUAGCUCCUUGAGAGUCAGUAUCACUGUCUGUAAGGUGAGUGUUGC